AUUGAACGCUGGCGGCAUGCUUUACACAUGCAAGUCGAACGGCAGCGCGGGCUUCGGCCUGGCGGCGAGUGGCGAACGGGUGAGUAAUGAAUCGGAACGUGCCCAGUAGUGGGGGAUAGCCCGACGAAAGGCGGAUUAAUACCGCAUACGACCUGAGGGUGAAAGCGGGGGACCGAAAGGCCUCGCGCGAUUGGCGGGGCCGAUGUCGGAUUAGCUAGUUGGUGGGGUAACGGCUUACCAAGGCGACGAUCCGUAGCUGGUCUGAGAGGACGACCAGCCACACUGGAACUGAGACACGGCCCAGACUCCUACGGGAGGCAGCAGUGGGGAAUUUUGGACAAUGGGGGCAACCCUGAUCCAGCCAUGCCGCGUGCGGGAAGAAGGCCUUCGGGUUGUAAACCGCUUUUGUUCGGGAAGAAAUCCUCUGGGCUAAUACCCCGGGGGGAUGACGGUACCGGAAGAAUAAGCACCGGCUAACUACGUG
rnacentral:rRNA from 1 species